AACCAUAGAAACCUGCGGAGUACCUGCGGAGGGAUCAUUACAGAGUUGCAAAACUCCCUAAACCAUUGUGAACGUUACCUAAACCGUUGCUUCGGCGGGCGGCCCGGGUCCUUCCCGGCGCCCCUCGGCCCUCGCGGGCGCCCGCCGGAGGUAAGCCAAACUAUUGCAUUGUAUGGCCUCUCUGAGUCUUCUGUACUGAAUAAGUCAAAACUUUCAACAACGGAUCUCAGAUCGGAAGAG
rnacentral:misc_RNA from 1 species